UACGGGGGGGGCUAGCGUUGUUCGGAAUUACUGGGCGUAAAGGGCGCGUAGGCGGCCUUCUAAGUCGAACGUGAAAUCCCCGGGCUCAACCCGGGAACUGCGUCCGAUACUGGAAGGCUUGAAUCCGGGAGAGGGAUGCGGAAUUCCUGGUGUAGCGGUGAAAUGCGCAGAUAUCAGGAGGAACACCGGUGGCGAAGGCGGUUCUCUGGGCAUGACCUGACGCUGAGGAGCGAAAGUGUGGGGAGCGAACAGG
rnacentral:rRNA from 1 species